CCUACGGGUGGCAGCAGUGAGGAAUAUUGGUCAAUGGCCGGAAGGCUGAACCAGCCAUGCCGCGUGAAGGUCAGUGCCCUAUGGGCGUUAAACUUCUUUUGUGCGGGAGCAAUAAUGGUAACGUGUGGCCAGACGAGAGUACCGUACGAAUAACCAUCGGCUAACUCCGUGCCAGCAGCAGCGGUGAUACGGGGGGUGCAAGCGUUAUCCGGAUUUAUUGGGUUUAAAGGGUGCGUAGGCUGUGAGGUAAGUCAGCGGUGAAAUGCCCCCGCUCAACGGGGUGAAGUGCCAUUGAUACUGGCUUGCUGGAAUGCGGAUGCCGUGGGAGGAAUGUGUGGUGUAGCGGGGAAAUGCAUAGAUAUCACACAGAACACCGAUUGCGAAGGCAUCUCACGAAUCCGCGAUUGACGCUGAUGCACGAAAGCGUGGGUAUCAAACAGGAUUAGAUACCCUUGUAGUC
rnacentral:rRNA from 1 species